rnacentral:rRNA from 1 species
CAGCAGCCGCGGGAAUACGGAGGGAGCUAGCGUUGUUCGGAAUUACUGGGCGUAAAGCGCACGUAGGCGGCUUUGUAAGUUAGAGGUGAAAGCCUGGAGCUCAACUCCAGAAUUGCCUUUAAGACUGCAUCGCUUGAAUCCGGGAGAGGUGAGUGGAAUUCCGAGUGUAGAGGUGAAAUUCGUAGAUAUUCGGAAGAACACCAGUGGCGAAGGCGGCUCACUGGACCGGCAUUGACGCUGAGGUGCGAAAGCGUGGGGAGCAAACAGGAUUAGAUACCCGCGUAGUCCCUGUCUCUUAUAC